GUGCUCGCUUCAGCACCACAUAUACUAAAAUAGGAAUGAUACAGAGAAGAUUAGCAUGGCUCCAGCGCAAGGAUAACAUGUAAAUCCAUGAAGAGUUCCAUAUUUAA
ensembl:snRNA U6 U6 spliceosomal RNA